UUCUGCUCAAUGAUAUAUUUAAUAGCCGCAGUACUCUGACUGUGCAAAGGUAGCAUAAUCAAUUGGCUUUUAAUUAAAGUCUAGCAUGAACGAAAUCAUGGGUAAUAGCUGUCUAAAUAUAGUUUUAGGAAUUUAAUAUGCAAGUGAAAAUACUUGCUUUUUAUAAAAGACGAGAAGACCCUAGAAACUUGUAAUAUAUUUUGUUGGGGCGACAGAAUUACAUAAAACUAAUUUUAAUUUACACGACGCUUAGUUGACAGAUUAAGUUACUCUAGGGAUAACAGCAUAAUUUUAAUAGUUUGUGACCUCGAUGUUGGACUAGGUACAGUACCCUUUAGAAGAGGGUUAAUAUGCUCUGUUCGAGCAGGACUACCUACGUGAUCUGAGUUCAGACCGGA
rnacentral:rRNA from 1 species